CAGACGUGAUGAAAUUCCAGAUGUAAACACAUUUGACCUUCCUUUGUCCAAUUUGAUAUGGAAAAGCUUGAAAAUUAACUAAAGGAGCAGCCGGAACAAAUGAAGAAGCUGGUAGCCUACUUUGGAAUCAUUGGUGUUUUCCAUUAAGGAAGCAGUUUGGUGUAUCCUGGGAAAACUUUUGACUAACUCCUUGUCUAAACAAAUGAACUGGAGCGGGGCAAACCAAAAUGUGGCCUUUCGUGCACUCCCCCUUAGGACUGUCUAGUCAAUGCAGUGAGGACAAAUGUCCAUACCACACCACUGAUAAAGAAGUGGAAAAUGCAUUACAAGGUGGCUACAACUUCCUUCCCUGUCAGGAGCAAGGAAGAAGAGAGCUCAAUAU